AUCAAACCAGGGGUUGGUUCUGUACUGCCACUCCUAUUAUUCUCCAGUAUUUCCAUUCCCCAGCUCAAUUGCUACUGAAAUGCACCUAUUUAGUUUAUCUAGUUCUGAGUUAGGCAUUUUUCACCAUGGUGUUAUUUUCUACUAAUUUGUUUGUGCCCCUUGGAUCUUGGUGGUGAAAUUUAUCUUCUCAUGCACUUGAAUUAAAAGUAACCCUAGCAUGCAUGUUGUUAAGGGCAAUAAUUGAUACAUCCUAUCUAGUAUCUCUUAAGAGAACCAUUUGCCACUUAGUUCUAUAGAUUUAUUAGUGGCCAUGGCUCAUAGUUAUUUUGCAUGCCAUUUGAAGUUUACUUGACACGCAAUUUUUUUACUAUUGUAAGUGCCUCGGAUAAACAUUUAGUUUCAUGUGUAUACUUGUUGACACAUGAAAAAUUUGAAGCUUACGCCCACCAGGUCGAUAAGUAGCUGAUGAGUAGCGGUUGCGCUUCAUUUAUAUUGUUUGUUAGUGAUGCCAUUUUCUCGGCGGGUUUAUAUGGCCUUAACUGCUAUUGAGUACUUGUGUUCUGUGAUGUAUGUUCUAUUACCUUGUCACUUAUAUGUCAACUUGACUAGACUUUCACUUGACCCACUUUUAUUUGGAUUAAUUUUAGGCAACCUCAUGUUUAUUUUUGUUUUAAAGUAGAUGUUUUGUUAUUCUUAUAUGUAGGCAUGAUAAAAUUUAAGAAUUUUGAAUAACAAAUAAUUUAUUUAUGAAGUCUGUUCUAAUUCUCUUAUUUCUACUAUCUGGUAUCUAAUGUUGUUGUAAAUAUAUUAGGUACGAUUUGGUAGCGGGCUUGGUGAUGGCCAACACAAUCCGCUAUGACAUGAUACUUACCAUCAGGAGGGCCGAUGACAAGAACCUGAAUAACAACCUCAAUAGUAUCAUAUGUUCUGUUGUUGUAAAUUGGAUUGUACUAGUUUCUAACCUUGUUGUGUGAUAUAUUUUGUCAAUAUAUUAUGUAAAUUAUCAUUUCAUGGAGGAUUUUGUAAACUGAUGUGGUGUAGAUACCAAUGCAUGGUUGCAUAUUGAAUAUCCGUGUAAUAUAUGAUCACACUUUGUCUUGGCCCAGAGUUGGUAUUAUGAUUUGUGUAAUGCAUCAUGCUAAAAAAUGUAUUGGUUCAAAAUUGGUG
rnacentral:lncRNA from 1 species